UCACUCCAGGGCUCGGCCUGGUCGCUGCAGCCCGUACCCGCUCCUUUGGAGGUUCCGUCCCUCUCUGUGACUGAAGCGGUUCGAUGGCUGGCUUUCGUAUACCUUCUGUGCGGUGCGGAGAGAGGAACAGAGGCUGGUGGGCCCUCUUUGGUUUUUCGAGAGGUGGAAGACUUUUGGACAGGGA